AGAGUGAACGCUGGCGGUAGGCCUAACACAUGCAAGUCGAACGGCAGCACAGUGGUAGCAAUACCAUGGGUGGCGAGUGGCGGACGGGUGAGGAAUACAUCGGAAUCUACCUUUUCGUGGGGGAUAACGUAGGGAAACUUACGCUAAUACCGCAUACGCCCUUCGGGGGAAAGCCGGGGAUCGCAAGACCUGGCGCGGAUAGAUGAGCCGAUGUCGGAUUAGCUAGUUGGUGAGGUAAUGGCUCACCAAGGCAACGAUCCUUAGCUGGUCUGAGAGGAUGAUCAGCCACACUGGGACUGAGACACGGCCCAGACUCCUACGGGAGCAGCAGUAGGGAAUAUUGGACAAUGGGACGAAAGCCUGAUCCAGCAAUGCCGCGUGAGUGAGUGAAGGCCUUUAGGUUAGUAAAGCUUACUUUACCCGAGUAUGAAUAAUGAC
rnacentral:rRNA from 1 species